rnacentral:rRNA from 1 species
UACGUAGGGUGCGAGCGUUGUCCGGAAUUAUUGGGCGUAAAGAGCUUGUAGGCGGUUUGUCGCGUCUGCCGUGAAAAUCCGGGGCUCAACCCCGGACUUGCGGUGGGUACGGGCAGACUAGAGUGUGGUAGGGGAGACUGGAAUUCCUGGUGUAGCGGUGAAAUGCGCAGAUAUCAGGAGGAACACCGAUGGCGAAGGCAGGUCUCUGGGCCACUACUGACGCUGAGAAGCGAAAGCGUGUGGAGCGAACAGG